rnacentral:misc_RNA from 1 species
GAUGAAGAACGUAGCAAAAUGCGAUAAGUAAUGUGAAUUGCAGAAUUCAGUGAAUCAUCGAAUCUUUGAACGCACAUUGCGCCCGCCAGUAUUCUGGCGGGCAUGCCUGUUCGAGCGUCAUUUCAACCCUCAAGCACAGCUUGGUGUUGGGACUCGCGUUAAUUCGCGUUCCCCAAAUUGAUUGGCGGUCACGUCGAGCUUCCAUAGCGUAGUAGUAAAACCCUCGUUACUGGUAAUCGUCGCGGCCACGCCGUUAAACCCCUACUUCUGAAUGUUGACCUCGGAUCAGGUAGGAAUACCCGCUGAACUUAAGCAUAUCAAUAAGCGGAGGA